rnacentral:tRNA from 1 species
GGCGUGUUAGCCAAGAUGGCAAAGGCGGCGCUCUGCAAAAGCGUUAUCAAAGGUUCGAGUCCUUUACAUGCCU